rnacentral:rRNA from 1 species
UACGAAGGGGGCUAGCGUUGUUCGGAAUUACUGGGCGUAAAGCGUGCGCAGGCGGCUUCUCAAGUCAGGGGUGAAAGCCCAGAGCUCAACUCUGGAAUUGCCUUUGAGACUGAGUGGCUUGAGUACGAGAGAGGUGAGUGGAAUUCCCAGUGUAGAGGUGAAAUUCGUAGAUAUUGGGAAGAACACCGGGUGGCGAAGGCGGCUCACUGGCUCAUUUCUGACGCUCAGGCGCGACAGCGUGGGGAUCAAACAGG